GUGAUGAGAUCCUCCACGGUUUUGUACUUGCUGUUCAGCUCGGUGUCGAGGACCUGUUGUUCCAGAUACAAACACAAGAUGGAGCCACUCAAAAGACAGUGCGAAAGGAGUUGCUCAAUAUCCGGGCUAAGGAGUGCGGAGCGUCAGCUCAGAGUAUUUGCCAGUUGACCUGUGGCAGACAGCGAAGCUGAGGGACAGAAACAAAUCUGUGAAAGGCUGAUGUGUGGCAGGGAGGCAGGUUUCCUGCAGCUAUUUUCAAACCUGACAACUUCCUCAUGCUUGUAUCUCUUUACAUUUAGUAACAGAUUGAGUAAAAAACACUUCAGUAAGUGCAUUAAGCACUUUUUUUUUGUCACCAGCACUUGGCCAAUAAAUGAAGUGGAUCAAAUGA